GAGGAAGAAAAAAUAUUUUAAAAAAAAUCAAUUUGACGUUUACAGUUCUCCAACUCGGUUCCAUAUUUGACCAGGUUCAUCUUCGUCGAUUCACCUUUGGUUCAUCAAUUCACGGCCUCUCGAUUUGGGAAGACAUGAAAACCUCAAGUUUAGAAACGAAUGAUCGAGACAGAGAGAGAAAGAGAACGUGGUGAGGCAUGGAUCUGAACAAGAUGGUUGAGAGAGAGAGAGAGAGUAGAGAAAGGAAGGAAGAAGGAAAGGUGAGUCGGAGAAGUUUCAGUGAUGACAACAACUGGAUCAUGAUAAGUUAGUUGUUCAAGAGGUGAGCCAUCUAAUAGCAUGGAAAUUCCUUAAUCUGUACUUCUAAGGAUUCUUUAAAUUUAUUAAAGCAUUUUUGAUCUCAUUUUGUGCUUGAAACACUUCUGUUAUAGUUUUCCGGCAUACGUACACCAGGUAUGAUUCUUCGUCCUUCAUCUCUCAAUUCUUCAAUCUUUGCUCAUCAUCACAAUCUUCAAAUGUUCGUUCUCUUUUUUUUGUCUUCCAAGAUCUUUCACUCUCUUCGUCAAUUGCAAAGGAGCGUUUGUUCAAGCGUAUAUUCACUGUUCUUGAGCCGAUUCAGUUUUUUGUUUUCAGAAACCCCUCUGCCAUAUCAGAGACAACCAAGAAAUUUGUCUCUGUCAAAAUUUCAAAGCAACACGUUUCGAUCUUUCAUCUUUCAGGUGUUCAUCUACUUGAUGUGCUUGACAGGUGAUAUGGUUGUAAGUGACAGCAAUCAUUCAGUUUCAGGGGGUUACUCUUCUGUCUCAAGGUCGUCACGAAAAUAUACAAUUUAACUCCUCUGCUGUCGAUUUGGUGCUCGGCAUAAGAAGCACCCUAUGAAGACAAAUGGGAUGCCCUUCGCUCUCCAAUCUCCAUCGCUGGCUCUAUAUCAGAGUAUGUUUUGUCAGGUUAUGGAAUUGCACAUCAUAGGUUAUCUCUUGGUUUUUGUGGUUCCUACAACACCAGCUACUCUAAACUUGAUGUGGUUUGGGAGGGUUUGAUUAAACUCUAGCAAAGAAGCUAUGAUGUGCAUGAAGUAGACAAGAUACAGAAUUUGGCUUCAAUUACUUAUAUUGGAUUUUAUGAGGAGCACGAAAUUGCAUAACAUGUCUCUGUCUUCAAUCUCUAAUAAGCUGAGACUACCAGUAAGGUACUUAAAAAGGACAAACCACGUGAUUCGGCUGGUGGGCUUUAUUACUUUAAGGAUUUUAUCAUGAAAGACAGCCCAGCCAAACAGCAGACAAACAGCAAGUGGAUCCUGUGAGUUUAGAGAGAGGCAAAUUGGACCAAAGCAAGACUGUUUCUGAUAUACCUGAAAUGCAGGGUCAAGCAGAAAGCAGCAAUGUCCCUUUGGCAGUUGAUGAAAAAGUAGAGGAUGUUGAAACUCUUUCAAAGAAAGCUGAUACGGAAUCCAUUGUUGAUAACGAUAAUAGGGACACAGAAUUUGCAGUAUCCAGCAUACAAAGUGUAGAUGGUGCAGCUCAAGUAGUAGAGAAAGAUUCUGAUGUUGAAGGGAUUGUCUCUACUGGGCAUCAAUUAAUUGAGGAGGAUUCUUUACUUGAUGAGAUGGGAGGUGAUGGACAAUUGGAAACAUCUAAUUAAGCAGCCAAUCCAAUUGGAACUUGGACAAGCAUCUAUGUUGGGAGAAAAAUUUCCCUCAUCUGCACCACUUGGAGGGACGAGGAAAAAUUACAUGUAUGUAAAUCUACAAGGAAUUGAAGUCGCUUAAAUUAGGAUAAUGCCUCCAUAUUUCAAUGCAACUUGAAAAUACACCUUUUAAUUGCUUUGGCGUUCAGGUUCAUAAGUUAACAAUAUCAUGUAAGUAAUUAUUGUACCAUUUAAUAUAAAAUGUAGAGAGACUAUACAUA